UACGAAGGGGGCUAGCGUUGCUCGGAAUGACUGGGCGUAAAGGGCGCGUAGGCGGUUCAUACAGUCAGAUGUGAAAUUCCUGGGCUCAACCUGGGGGCUGCAUUUGAUACGUGUGGACUAGAGUGGGGAAGAGGGUCGUGGAAUUCCCAGUGUAGAGGUGAAAUUCGUAGAUAUUGGGAAGAACACCGGUGGCGAAGGCGGCGACCUGGUCCUUGACUGACGCUGAGGCGCGAAAGCUAGGGGAGCAAACAGG
rnacentral:rRNA from 1 species